CGCGCUACCACUGGCAGAGAUAAAUCUUGCCAAUACUUACUAUGGCUCAUCUAGUGGUUCUUGCUCUUUCAGAAAGUACCAUGGCUGCACUCACGCUCCAGUGAUAAGGAAGCUACCAUCAAAGUGCCUCAGUUCCUUAUAACCAGGCAAGACUGGUGGAAGGUGAUGUAUUGAAAGCCCAAGGCUGUCUCACGUGGCCACGGGAGUUGUUGCCUACCAGUAUUUGUAUCUACUUCUAGGAGUCUAACAUUGUAUCCUCAUAAAAGUAUCUUUUCUAGUGAUUUUUAAAUUUUUAUUAGACUUAUUUCAUAUAUUUUGCCUGCAUGUAUAAUCAUGCCCCCCGUGCAUACCUACUGGCUGUGGAGGUCAGAAGAAAUGAUAGGAACCCCUGGGAUUGGAGCUACAGGUGAUUUUGAGUCCUCAUCUGGGUGCUGUGAAUGGAAGCCAGAACAUCUGCAAGAAUAACAACUGCUCUUGGCCAAUGUCUCUCCUUUUCUUUGCCUUUUCUCUUUAUUUUCACCCGACCUUAAAAGGGUUCUCAUUUAUUUUUUUUUGAGAUUGUCUCACUUUGUUGGCUUGACAGGCUUGGAACUGGCCAUGGAGAUCAUUCUGGCUUUGCACUCUCAGACAUCUCAUGGCCUCUGUCUUCUUCUGAGUCCUAGGAUUAAAGUUGUUUACCACCACACCUGACCUUUUCUCAUUUUUCAAAGAUUGAAAACUAGGAAGGAUUAUCAGGAAACAGGAAAGGGAAGCCAUAUGGAAGAUUAAAAGUGAAAAUAUGAGAUGAACCAUCAUGUGCUUCUGGCUGGAGGUAUCUCAUGAUCCCCAGAGAAUAGAACUCUCUUCUUGCUGAGAAGUAAACUGAACCACAGCUCAUUCACCAGGAAAAUGGAGCACUUGCCUCAUAGAUGGUGAUGACUUACUAACGAGAGGCAGAAGCUGAAGCUGCACAUGCAUAAAAUCAGAACCCUGAUUCAUCGGGACUACAAUCAGGCAGCUCAGGAUCUUUCCCAUGGGUUGUCAAAGUGCUCCUCUCUGGGAGGAACAGGCUGCAGCUUCAGCUGAACCCAGAAUCUCACUAUGUAGACAACACGAACUUUGAAUUCACAGAGAUCCUUCUCCUCUCAAGUAUUGGGAUUAAAGGAAUGUGUCACACUAUGCCCGGCUGCAGACUGUUAUUGCUUUAUAACAAAGUUGAUUUUAAAGGGAAUGCUUUAUAUGCUCAAUAUACACAUUAAUUCUUUUUUCAGCCACCUUGUCCUUAGCCAGGUGAAGUGACAUAUGACUUUAGUCCAAAAACUCACUUGGUAGAAACAGGCAAAUAUCUGUGAGUGUGUGGCCAUUUGGGUCUACAUAGUGAGUUUCAGGUUUACCUGGUAUAUAGAGAGAGACUCUCUGUCAAAAAAUAAAACAACAAACAGAUACCAAGCUCGCCAAUGAGUUGCUCAUUUACUACACUGCCAACAGCAUGCCGGGUUGCAUUGUAGAGCCUCAUACUUUUGCCAUGGUGACAUUUGUGGGGCGUUAGUUUGUGAACAACACCCAUUCCUCAUGUAUCUAAAUACCACUUUUCUUAUACAUUCUCCUAUAUCUGACCAAAGGGAAGACCCCCGUUCUCUUAGGGGCCUAACACAGAAGGCACUGCUCAUCUUCCUUGUUUGUCAUUUUAAAGAAUUACUGCCAAAUGAUGGAAACGUUUGUUCCCGUUUUUAUUUCUGAGUGUACUCUGGAUCUAUGAUUCACAGUCAGGUGUAGUUAACAAUGUUUUCUCUCAUUCUGUGUGUUGUCUUUUCACUUGAGUAACCAUUUCCUUUGUUUUUACAGAGCUUUUGAAUUUUGUGACAUCCAUUAGCUUAUCGUCACUAUUAUUUCCUGAGGAACAACAAGACCUUCAGGAGUUCCUCACCUCUGUCUGUAUCCUGAAUAAUGUUCCCCUAUGUAUUCCUCUAAAAGGUUCGACUUGGAAGCUCCUACAUUGAGGCUUUUAGAUUGAAAUACCUAGAUUAGGAAUGAUUUUUGUGCAGGGUGAGAGAUAAAGAUCGGUUUUCAUUCUUAUACACGAAAGAUCCCCAGUGAAACUUGUGUUAGUGUUUUUGAAAAUGGCUUGGAAAACCUAGGCUGGAAGAGGGUGUAUGUAUGGCCUUCUUCAUAGGAGAUCAUUCAUCAUUUGCUAUCUGCAAACUCAGGUAGCGAAGGCUAGUUGCAACAACCUAUACUAAGACCCAUGUGUCCACUAAAGAUGUUUUCAGAGGUAAGAAUGACCUGUGGAAUUUCACAGAACAGAAGAGAACAGAAAGUUAGUUCCCAGUGCCAUUUUGGGAAGCACACCUGUAACUUGUGGGGGGCACUCUUCUACCUAAAGAAUCACCACCAGCCGGGCGGUGGUGGCACUCGCCUUUAAUCCCAGCACUUGGGAGGCAGAGGCAGGCAGA